CUCUUAUCAAGAGAUGGCGGAGGGACUGGCCCAAUGAUGCCCGGCAACCUGCAUUUCCCUAUACGGGGUGACGGAUCGGAGAGGACGGCAGGAUGUUCCUGCACGAAAUCUUUGUUUCCGGUCACAGCAAGGUGCUAACUCCUGCAGAACGUACCGUUCUGAGAGAUAAGGG
rnacentral:ncRNA from 2 species